GCAAUGUUAGUCUCGUUUGUGUCGUCGUUCCUAUCGUAUCUAUCUAUCUCUUUCUCUUUCUCUCUCUCUCUCUCUCUCUCUUUCUCUCUCUCUCUCUCUCUCUCUCUCGUGUUUACGUUCGUGUAAAGGUCGUUUUCUGAAAACGGAGAUUCAACUGUAAACUGUAGAAAAUUACGUAGGGGAUAAACGUAAAAGAAAUUUAAACUCGACGUUAUGGAUAAUCGUAUUCAUGAAAUGCAUCUCUGCGUAUAAAGUCACGCAUGAUCAUAUACCGCGUAUCUAUAUCGUUUUCUUAUAGGGAUUCACGUUGGAUCCUGCAUACAGAUCAAGUGAAAGGAAGGAAGGAAGAAAGAAAGGAAGGAAGGAAGGAAGGAAGGAAGGAAGGAAGGAAGGAAGUAUACCUCUCUACAUAGAUACAUACAUACAUGGUAGAGACGGUCGAUCGAGCACGCUUGAUCCCAAAGCCGUCUGCCGUCAUCGAGAUAGCAUUUCCAGUAAAAGAACGAUCUCGAGAACUUGGGAAUGAGCAAAAAUGGGAACGGAAUCGGACAGUAGACAAAGGGAGGAAAGAAAAGUUACUAAUGUUGAUGGGAUGGAACGUCGGAAGGGAGACUAACUUCUUUUCUUCGUUCGUUUUAGGAUCGUUUUACGGCGAACGCCAUUUUAGAAGAGAAUAAGAAUGAGAGAGAAAGAGAGAGAGAGAGAGAGAGAGAGAGAGAGGAAGAUUUGAUAAGAAGAGGUAGGAGAAAUGAGAAAAGAUGGAGGAAGUACUUCGAAUGGAGGAAGUAAUUAGAUCGAUAAUAACUUCCUAUUUGCUUAACUUAUCGGAUAUUUCGAGGAGCAUUAAUCCAUUAUAUGAAGUUCGGUAUACUAAUCCGAGUAUACCGAAAUCCGAGUACCGAACAAACAAGAGGAAACUAGAGACCACGGCGCGUUGUUCUCGAUGCUUACAUUCGGUCGAUGAGCUUUCCUACGAUAUUCUCAACUUGAUAUAUACACGCGGACUCAACGUUUAGGACAACAGAUGUACUAGACAACUAUGCUCGUGUAUCGCCUUUCAUCGAGUUUUGAAGCUAUAUCUUUAUCAUACAGAUAGUACACUUACGUAUGUUAUGUUACGCUUGAUUAAAGGAUUUUCGAUUAAUGAAAUCAAUUCCUAAUUAUAAGACGAUAAUAGAAUUGAUAAGGA